AUGUCGGAGGUGACUUGGAGUCUGCUGCAGCACUGGGGCGCCAGUUUUAGGAGAGGCGCGGACUUCGACUCUUGGGGCUAACUGGUGGAGGCGAUAGAUGGGAUCAGAUAUUCACAAGACAUCUACAAAAAGAGGCCCAAGCUCAACACAAUAAUUCUGAAUUUACAGAAGAACAAAAGAAAACCAUAGGCAAAAUUGCAACAUGCUUGGAAUUGCAAAGUGCAGCUUUACAGUCCACACAGUCUCAAGAAGAAUUUAAACCGGAGGACCCGAAGAAACUAGAAGCAAUCCUAAAGAAUAUUCUUACAUAUAAUAAAGAAUUCCCAUUUGAUGUUCAGCCUGUCCCAUUAAGAAGAAUUUUGGCACCUGGUGAAGAAGAGAAUUUGGAAUUUGAAGAAGAUGAAGAAGAGGGUGGUGCUGGAGCAGGGUCUCCUGAUUCUUUCCCGCUAGAGUUCCCAAGGUUGCCAAGGUUGCCAUUGGAACCAGGAAUGACAUUACUCACUAUCAGAAUUGAGAAAAUUGGUUUGAAAGAUGCUGGGCAGUGCAUCGAUCCCUAUAUUACAGUUAGUAUAAAGGAUCUGAAUGGCAUAGACUUAACUCCUAUGCAAGAUACUCCUGUGGCUUCAAGAAAAGAAGACACAUACAUUCAUUUUAAUGUGGACAUUGAGCUCCAGAAACAUGUUGAAAAAUUAAUCAAAGGUGCAGCUCUCUUCUUUGAACUCAAACACUACAAGCCUAAAAAAAGGUUCACCAGCACCAAGUGUUUUGCUUUCAUGGAGAUGGAUGAAAUUAAACCUGGGUCAAUUGUAAUAGAACUAUACAAGAAACCCACUGACUUUAAAAGAAACAAAUUGCAAUUAUUGACCAAGAAACUACUUUAUUUUCAUCUACAUCAAACUUUGCACAAGGAAUGAUCCUGACAUGAUGAACCUGGAACUUCUGUGAAUUUUACCACUCAGUAGAAACCAUCAUAGCUCUGUGUAGCGUAUUCACCCUUUAACAGGCAGGAAGCAAGCCAUACACAGACCAGUAGGCCAGAGGGAGUCCAGUGCAAAGCUGUACCACAGAAUUCAAAGUCCAGCACAUUACUGAUGUAUAGGACUCCUUUGGAUACAGGUUUAUUGUAGAUUUUGAACAUGUUUUUACUUUUCUAUUAAUUGUGCAAUUAAUAGUCUAUUUUCUAAUUUACCACUACUCCUACCCUGCUUCCUGGAGCAAUACUGUUGUGGGUAGGACGUGCUCAUCUUCAAACUUAAUACAGCAAUAAGCAUGUG